rnacentral:rRNA from 1 species
GAUGAACGCUGGCGGCGCGCCUAACACAUGCAAGUCGAACGGCACCCCUCUCCGGAGGGAAGCGAGUGGCGAACGGCUGAGUAACACGUGGAGAACCUGCCCCCUCCCCCGGGAUAGCCGCCCGAAAGGACGGGUAAUACCGGAUACCCCGGGGUGCCGCAUGGCGCCCCGGCUAAAGCCCCGACGGGAGGGGAUGGCUCCGCGGCCCAUCAGGUAGACGGCGGGGUGACGGCCCACCGUGCCGACAACGGGUAGCCGGGUUGAGAGACCGACCGGCCAGAUUGGGACUGAGACACGGCCCAGACUCCUACGGGAGGCAGCAGUGGGGAAUCUUGCGCAAUGGGGGGAACCCUGACGCAGCGACGCCGCGUGCGGGACGGAGGCCUUCGGGUCGUAAACCGCUUUCAGCAGGGAAGAGUCAAGACUGUACCUGCAGAAGAAGCCC